AGACACACCAGGCCGCCAUGUUGUGUAAGGUUAGUCUCUCAGCCUCCGCGAGAAGAAGGCGAAAAAUGGGGAGGAGCAGCCUGGUUACUUUCAAACGAGAAAGAACGGAUAUGUUAAGCGUGGAGGGCUCCUAAUGGUAGCGGUUUGAUUUUCAGUGAGUUUGGCGCGGUGGAGACGUCACCGCGGUCUAACAGUUCCGACGUGGUGGCGUCAUCACUGGCCGCCGUAGGAGGUGGAGCUACGUUGGCCUCGUGACCGGGCCCUGUAGCGGAAGCCCAGGUCAAGGCCCUAACAAAAGGGCCCGCCUAUGGCCACAGUUUCAGGCCCUCCUUUCAGUCAUGGACUGUUGAAGCACGAUUUCCUGGUGCUUUCGCCCCUUUCACCGACCAUUUCAAGAGUCCGUAGUUCUCGCCUGGGUUUGGAUUCGGUAUAAGUGAGCCUGUUUACCAUCAAAGAAAAUGGUGAAAUGUCUUCUGGAGACGAUGUUCUCUUCUGGUUCUAACCCUGUCACUCAGUGAGACCCCCAGAGAAGCCUAGUUUUCAGAUUAUUCUAGUCCUUGGCAGGCUCAAGAUGUCAACAACACGGUUGGAAACAACCCCUGAGAGGUCACAUAGCGCGCACUCAGCUUUACAGAUCGUCCAAGGCAGCGACCCCUGAGAGGUCACAUAGCGCGCACUCAGCUUUAUAGAUCGUCCAAGGCAGCAAUUAGAAUCAGCAACUCGGAGAGGAAAAAAAGCUGUUAGCGGAAUGGAGGCUGACCAUUAUCUGUAGUAAAGAAUCGGAAGUACAGUACAAAAAUAAAUUACCGAAACGCAACAUGCGUGAAUUUCACACAAAAAAAUGAAGUUGAGGGAAAGAAGCCAGACAUGGAAGAGUUCAUAUUGCGUGGUUCCAUUUAAAAACUAGCCCAUGGUGUUAAUGAGCAUAGUGGGGAGGACAAUGACAUGAAAGAGCCACCAGGGGGCUUUUGAGGUUCAGGUAAUGUUUCUUGAUUUGGACACUGAUUAUAGAUAGGUGGGUUCACUUUAGAAAUCUCAUUGAGUUGUAAACGUAUAUUUAUGUACGUAGUUUUUUCUGUAGAUUAUGCUUAAGGCCCGGCGAAGGGGAAUUUGCCCAGGUAAUGGAAAUAUUACACCGAUACAUAGAAUUGUCAAAGUUCAUGGGAUGAACUCCUAAGAGCUGUGUAUUUUAUCGUAUAAAUUUUUUUAAGUGUCCAACCAAUAGCCUGGAAUUAUUAAGUACAUAAUUAAAUAAAAACAAAUAUCCCAUG
rnacentral:lncRNA from 1 species